GGCGGCAUGGCCAAGUGGUAAGGCAAUGGAUUGCAAAUCCAUCAUUCCCCGGUUCGAAUCCGGGUGCCGCCUCCA
rnacentral:tRNA from 1 species